rnacentral:lncRNA from 1 species
UGAAGCUGGAAACCAUCAUUCUCAGCAAACUAUCGCAAGGACAAAAAAACCAAACACCGCAUGUUCUCACUCAUAGGUGGGAAUUGAACAACGAGAACACAUGGACACAGGAAGGGGAACAUCACACACUGGGGAUGGUUGUGGGGUGGGGGGAGAGGGGAGGGAUAGCAUUAAGAGGCAGUCCUUGCCAAAGAGCAUAA